CUACAAAUUUGUUGUGUAUACAUACCAGUUGAGAUUCUUCAUUUACAAUUUGUACAGUUUGAUCUAAUGGAGUCAAUUCACAAAGUGCAAGAGGUUGGCUCACAAGUGAAAGGGUAGUAAUCAUUUGUGGCAGCCAAAAUGAUACCCUUCUUCAUGAUGUUCGCUGGAGGUCCUCUGGGAUCUGGAAAACAAUGGGGUUAUAAAUGGAACAGCACCGAAGCCAGUUACGUUGGGUGAAUUAUGUAAAGGAUUGGGAGCUGAGAUGGGAAGACCUUCAUGGCUCCCCCAGUACCUGACUUUGCUCUCAAAGCCAUACUUGGAUAAGGAGCUUCUGUGGUUCGUCACAAUCCCACUCCUUACCCUUUCUUUUUCUUUUCUUUUUAAAUACAAAAUUCUAUUUUUCCAAAGUUCGUCAUUUUCCAUUCUAAAUUCAUGUCCAAUAGGGUUUUGGCAGGGCAAAGGGUGGUUCCUACCAGAGCCAAGGAAUUGGGUUUUUCGUAUAAGUACCCCUCUGUGAAGGACGCACUCAAGUCCAUUCUUUCCUAAGCUCAAUUAUGAACAAAAUUGGCCACAGCAAUUGUUUCUUAAUUGUUUCUUUCUUUCUUUCUUUCUUUUUUUUUUUUUUUUUUGAUGAAAUUUUUUAUUUAGUUGUGUUGUAAAUUCGAUUUUGGUAUGAAAUGGAAUGAUGCAAAGAUUAAAAUUGUAGUGUAGUGGAGAAGGAGAACAAAUAAUUGCUCA